rnacentral:sRNA from 1 species
CAGGCCCAGAACUGCCUCACUAAGCUAUACAAGCUAGAUAAGAUGCAAUUCCGACAAACCAUGAGGGACUAUGUGAACAAGGACUCUCUCAAUAAUGUAGUGGACUUCUUGCAUGCUUUGCUAGGAUUUUGUAUGGAGCCGGUCACUGACAACAAGGCUGGGUUUGGAAAUAACUUCACCACAGUGGACAACAAAUCCACAGCCCAAAAUGUGGAAGGCAUUAUCGUCAGCGCCAUGUUUAAAUCCCUCAUCACACGCUGCGCUUCAACCACACAUGAAUUGCACAGCCCUGAGAAUCUGGGACUGUAUUGUGACAUUCGUCAGCUGGUCCAGUUUAUCAAAGAGGCUCAUGGGAAUGUCUUCAGGAGAGUGGCCCUCAGUGCUCUGCUUGACAGUGCCGAGAAGUUAGCACCAGGGAAAAAGGUGGAGGAGAAUGAACAGGAAUCUAAGCCUGCGGGCAGUAAAAGGUCAGAGGCGGGAAGCAUUGUGGAUAAAGGCCAGGUAUCCUCUGCACCUGAGGAAUGUCGCAGCUUCAUGUCCGGUCGCCCCUCACAGACUCCAGAGCACGAUGAGCAAAUGCAAGGAGCCAACCUGGGGCGGAAAGAUUUCUGGCGUAAGAUGUUCAAGUCCCAGAGUGCAGCAAGUGACACCAGCAGCCAGUCUGAGCAGGACACUUCAGAAUGCACAACUGCCCACUCAGGGACCACCUCUGACCGACGUGCCCGUUCACGAUCCCGCAGAAUUUCCCUCCGGAAGAAGCUUAAACUCCCCAUAGGUAAAAGGAACUGGCUGAAAAGAUCAUCCCUCUCAGGCCUGGCAGAUGGUGUGGAGGACCUCCUGGACAUUAGCUCUGUGGACCGACUCUCUUUCAUCAGGCAAAGCUCCAAGGUCAAAUUCACUAGUGCUGUGAAGCUUUCUGAAAGUGGGCCAGGAAGUGGCAUGGAAAAUGGAAGAGAUGAAGAGGAGAAUUUCUUCAAGCGUCUUGGUUGCCACAGUUUUGAUGAUCAUCUCUCUCCCAACCAAGAUGGUGGAAAAAGCAAAAACGUGGUGAAUCUUGGAGCAAUCCGACAAGGCAUGAAACGCUUCCAAUUUCUGUUAAACUGCUGUGAGCCAGGGACAAUUCCUGAUGCCUCCAUCCUAGCAGCUGCCUUGGAUCUAGAAGCCCCUGUGGUGGCCAGAGCAGCCUUGUUCCUGGAAUGUGCUCGUUUUGUUCACCGCUGCAACCGUGGCAACUGGCCAGAGUGGAUGAAAGGGCACCACGUGAACAUCACCAAGAAAGGCCUUUCCCGGGGACGCUCUCCCAUUGUGGGCAACAAGCGAAACCAGAAGCUGCAGUGGAAUGCGGCCAAGCUCUUCUACCAAUGGGGAGACGCAAUUGGCGUCCGAUUGAAUGAGCUGUGCCACGGGGAAAGUGAAAGCCCAGCCAACCUGCUGGGUCUCAUUUACGAUGAAGAGACCAAGAGGAGACUUAGAAAGGAGGAUGAGGAGGAAGACUUUUUAGAUGACAGUACUGUGAACCCCUCUAAAUGCGGUUGCCCCUUUGCCUUGAAGAUGGCAGCAUGUCAGCUUCUUCUGGAGAUUACCACCUUCCUGCGAGAGACCUUUUCUUGCCUGCCCAGACCUCGCACUGAGCCUCUGGUGGACUUGGAGAGCUGCAGACUUCGUUUGGAUCCCGAGUUGGACCGGCACAGAUAUGAGAGGAAGAUCAGCUUUGCUGGGGUCCUGGACGAAAAUGAAGACUCAAAAGAUUCUCUUCACAGCAGCAGCCACACUCUCAAAUCAGAUACAGGAGUCGAGGAGAAGAAAGAAGGGAGUCCUUGGAGUGCAAGCGAGCCCAGCAUUGAGCCAGAGGGAAUGAGUAAUGCCGGCGCGGAGGAGAAUUACCACAGAAACAUGUCGUGGCUUCAUGUGAUGAUCUUGCUGUGCAAUCAGCAGAGUUUCAUCUGCACUCACAUUGACUACUGCCAUCCCCACUGCUACCUGCACCACAGCCGCUCCUGUGCCCGACUGGUCAGAGCCAUCAAGCUACUCUAUGGAGACAGUGUGGACUCCCUGAGGGAAAGCAGCAACAUCAGCAGUGUGGCUCUCCGGGGCAAGAAACAGAAAGAAUGCUCAGAUAAGUCAUGCCUGAGGACACCUUCUCUAAAGAAGAGAGUUUCAGAUGCCAAUCUGGAAGGAAAAAAAGAUUCCGGAAUGCUGAAGUACAUCAGACUUCAGGUGAUGAGCUUGUCGCCUGCUCCCUUAUCUCUGUUAAUCAAGGCAGCACCAAUUCUGACAGAGGAGAUGUACGGAGACAUCCAGCCAGCUGCCUGGGAGCUCCUGCUCAGCAUGGAUGAGCACAUGGCAGGGGCAGCAGCUGCCAUGUUCCUGCUGUGUGCAGUGAAGGUGCCUGAGGCUGUGUCCGACAUGCUGAUGUCAGAGUUCCACCACCCGGAGACCGUGCAGAGGCUGAACGCUGUCCUCAAGUUCCACACGCUCUGGAGGUUUCGCUAUCAGGUCUGGCCCCGGAUGGAGGAAGGGGCACAGCAGAUUUUUAAGAUUCCGCCUCCCAGUAUCAAUUUCACCCUUCCCUCGCCGGUGCUUGGAAUGCCAUCUGUCCCAAUGUUUGACCCACCGUGGGUUCCUCAGUGCAGCGGGAGUGUCCAGGACCCCAUUAACGAAGACCAGUCUAAAUCCUUUUCAGCCCGGGCUGUGUCCCGCUCCCAUCAAAGGGCAGAACACAUCUUAAAGAACUUGCAGCAGGAGGAAGAAAAGAAACGACUUGGUAGAGAAGCCAGCCUCAUCACCGCCAUCCCCAUCACCCAGGAGGCUUGCUAUGAGCCCACAUGCACGCCCAACUCAGAGCCGGAAGAAGAAGUAGAAGAAGUCACCAAUCUGGCAUCCCGUCGACUGUCUGUGAGUCCAUCCUGCACCUCCAGCACUUCCCACAGGAAUUAUUCCUUCCGCCGCGGGUCAGUCUGGUCAGUGCGUUCAGCCGUCAGUGCUGAAGAUGAGGAACAUAACACUGAACACACGCCAAACCACCAUGUGCCUCAGCCCCCACAAGCAGUGUUCCCAGCAUGCAUCUGUGCAGCAGUACUUCCCAUUGUUCAUCUGAUGGAGGAUGGUGAGGUGCGGGAAGAUGGAGUAGCAGUGAGUGCUGUGGCUCAACAAGUCUUAUGGAACUGUCUAAUUGAAGAUCCAUCAACGGUUCUUCGACAUUUUCUGGAAAAACUGACCAUCAGCAAUAGACAAGAUGAGUUAAUGUACAUGCUGCGCAAACUUCUCUUGAAUAUUGGAGACUUUCCUGCUCAGACAUCUCAUAUCCUAUUCAACUAUUUGGUAGGAUUAAUCAUGUACUUUGUGCGAACCCCCUGCGAGUGGGGGAUGGAUGCCAUUUCAGCCACUCUGACAUUCCUGUGGGAGGUGGUGGGUUACGUGGAGGGCCUCUUCUUCAAGGAUCUCAAGCAGACGAUGAAGAAGGAGCAGUGCGAGGUGAAGCUCCUGGUGACCGCUUCAAUGCCAGGUACUAAAACCUUGGUAGUUCACGGACAGAAUGAGUGCGAUAUCCCAACCCAGUUACCAGUCCAUGAAGACACUCAAUUUGAAGCCCUGUUGAAGGAGUGUCUGGAGUUUUUUAAUAUCCCAGAAUCCCAGUCAACACAUUAUUUUCUUAUGGAUAAACGAUGGAACCUUAUCCACUACAAUAAGACCUAUGUUCGCGAUAUUUAUCCUUUCCGGAGGUCAGUAUCUCCCCAGCUGAACCUUGUACAUAUGCAUCCAGAGAAGGGACAGGAGCUCAUUCAGAAACAGGUGUUCACCCGCAAGCUGGAAGAAGUAGGGCGGGUAUUGUUUCUCAUCUCCCUGACCCAGAAGAUCCCCACAGCCCACAAACAGUCCCACGUCUCCAUGCUUCAGGAAGAUCUCCUCCGCCUGCCCUCAUUCCCUCGUAGUGCUAUUGAUGCUGAGUUUUCACUCUUCAGCGAUCCUCAAGCUGGAAAGGAACUGUUUGGCCUCGACACUCUUCAGAAAAGCUUGUGGAUCCAGCUGCUGGAGGAAAUGUUCCUGGGCAUGCCGAGCGAGUUUCCAUGGGGAGACGAAAUCAUGCUUUUCCUCAACGUUUUUAACGGGGCUCUGAUCCUCCACCCAGAAGACAGUGCCCUGCUCAGGCAGUACGCUGCCACUGUCAUCAACACCGCGGUGCACUUCAACCACCUCUUCUCUCUCAGCGGCUACCAGUGGAUUCUCCCCACCAUGCUGCAGGUGUACUCCGACUAUGAAAGCAAUCCCCAGCUGCGUCAAGCCAUCGAAUUUGCCUGUCACCAGUUCUAUAUUCUACACCGGAAGCCCUUUGUGCUCCAGCUGUUUGCUAGUGUGGCCCCUCUCCUGGAAUUUCCUGAUGCUGCCAAUAAUGGGCCCAGCAAAGGUGUGUCAGCUCAGUGCCUGUUUGACUUGCUGCAGUCCCUAGAGGGAGAGACCACCGACAUAUUAGACAUCUUAGAGCUGGUCAAAGCUGAGAAGCCUCUCAAGUCUUUAGAUUUCUGCUAUGGAAACGAAGAUCUGACAUUUUCUAUCAGUGAAGCCAUUAAGCUCUGUGUCACUGUGGUGGCGUAUGCUCCCGAAUCAUUCAGAAGUCUUCAGAUGCUGAUGGUCUUGGAAGCCCUAGUUCCAUGUUACCUACAAAAGCUAAAGAGGCAGACAUCACAGGUGGAGACAGUACCUGCUGCCCGAGAGGAGAUUGCGGCCACUGCUGCUCUUGCGACGUCCCUACAGGCCCUUUUAUACAGUGUAGAGGUCCUCACCAGGCCCAUGACAGCCCCACAGAUGAGCAGGUGUGACCAAGGCCAUAAGGGAACCACCACAGCCAAUCACACCAUGUCGUCUGGGGUGAACACCAGGUACCAGGAACAAGGAGCCAAACUGCACUUUAUCAGGGAAAACCUUCAUUUACUGGAGGAAGGGCAAGGCCUUCCCAGAGAGGAACUGGAUGAACGAAUUGCUCGGGAAGAGUUCAGAAGACCCCGGGAGUCCUUACUGAAUAUUUGCACAGAGUUCUAUAAGCACUGUGGGCCGCGGCUGAAGAUCUUGCAAAAUCUGGCUGGGGAGCCUCGGGUCACUGCCCUAGAACUGCUGGAUGUGAAGUCUCACAUGAGGUUGGCAGAAAUUGCACACUCCCUUCUGAAGCUGGCACCAUAUGACACUCAGACAAUGGAGAGUCGUGGGCUUCGGCGCUACAUCAUGGAGAUGCUACCCAUUACUGACUGGACAGCUGAGGCAGUGAGGCCAGCCCUCAUCCUCAUUUUAAAAAGAUUGGAUAGAAUGUUCAACAAAAUUCAUAAGAUGCCUACUUUGAGGUGAGAAUGCCUCCUAGUUAGCUGUUGCUAUCACAAAUGUCAAAGUUAAGAUUUGUCAUUUUUUAAGAUGAUGGAUCAUUCUGGAGUUAAAUGAAUGACUUGAAAGUUUUCUUUGGUAUAUGUGCAUAGUUAAUAGGGUCUAUGAAUGCCUAAGUAGCAAAGCCUACAUUUUGAGAAAAAUAACAUUUUCUUUAAAAGUAUAUGUGCUCAUCUUGAAAAAAUCUAUCCAUUUCUUAGCUAUCAUGCUCCUCAUCUGACACAUAUAAAAAUUUCAAUUAGUACCCUUUAAUCCCUUUUAAAAUAAGGGAGGGUUGGCAUUAUAAAUGAAACAACUAAUGAGAAAAGAAAAUGAAUUUUAUGUUCAAAAUACUAUAUUUAAGAUAGCUAGUUAACAUAGUUAGGUACCAGUUUAGAGAAAUUCCAAGCUUUACAAUAAUUGCCAAGCAGAAGCUUAAAAAUUCGCAGGAUUGAAAACAAACACCUAAUUUUCACUUUUUUACCUAAUUCAGUGUGGUACCAAAUGAACACUAUUAAUGCUUGAUCUUUGUUCAGUGAUCUGGGAAAUAUUCAUUGGUAGCCUACAUAUUAGCAGAUGUUUUUGAACCACUCUACUUAGAGAUGUGAGCUGAGUUUGGAAACUGUAGUGAUAGUGAGCAGAUAGUUCAACAGAUUAAUACUGGUAAACCCACUUACUCGGAAAUUUCAAGCUUGGGUUAGUGAGCAAAUUUUCUGUCCUUUUAAACUAAACCCAAAAAUCAGUGUGACUCCUUCCCAAGAAUUUAUAGCACUUAAUGUUCAAUUCAUCAGAAUUUUUCAGGUAUUAGUCCAUAAUCUCCUUCACACUAAUCCAGCCUUCAGGAGUCAUUAAAAAAACAAAUUGAAAAUUUUUAUUCUAAUAAUUGAUUAUUUGUUUUUAUAUUCUUUUAUACCGUGGUGAUGACUGCCUAUACAUUAUUUCAAGGUUAUUUAUUUCAAUGGCAUGGAAAUGCCUGUUUUAAAACACUAUUUCUUUAGUGAUCCCAAUAGAACAUUUGUGUCUAUCAGCAAAUGGCUUAUCAAAGAUUUAUAACUGUCUCACAAGGGUGUGUCGAAAUAAAUUCCUUUCUUAAAUACUUCAUAUCUAAAGAUGUUAAACAUCUCCAAAAAUGACCCAUUUAUGCUUCCCGAAAGUAGAUUUCUGGAUUAAUACAUAGGCUUGGUCAGUUAUAGGCAAUUUUCUUGGGAGAUAGGCUAUGAAUAUGGAGUUGGCUUGGAUUUAAAUUCAUUAGGUGAUCUCAGCUCAACACAAGAAAUGUUGACUGAACCUGACCUGCACAUUACCUUCAGUGUCGGAGAUGUCACAUAGCCUCAUUUAUGAAUACAUUUCCAUUUGUCAUUGCAGAUUCCAUUUCGCUAGAAAACAUAAGCUUAGAAAGUAUUGCCAGGAAAAUAUAAGGAAAUACUGUUAAUAUCAGUAAAGCCCAAGCUGUUUAUUUUGGGGCCACAGGGAUGAAUCAGUACUAGGGCAACUAUGAAAUGGAUUGACUUUUAUUACAGAAAAUCCCAUAUUCAUUUAAUUGGGUUAUGUAUACAGUAACACCAUUUAUACUACCAUAGAAAGUAGCCAAAAAAUACAUAUCACUUCUUGGGAGGCCAAGAAAGAACAUUGUUUAAAUAAACUGUUUUCUUCUAAUGUGAUCGUCUUAGCAGGAGUUAAGCUAUGUAAAUCAAAUUAGUGGUAGUCUGGUGUAAAAACUGAUGGGUGUGUGUAAUCUGAUAAACAGGUUUCAGAAAUGUAGCUGGGAUCAGAUUAGUUCUAUUGGGAGUAAUUACCCCUGUGAUCAGUUUUCUACAAUGGUAGUCUUAGGACCCUCUGUCAAAGCUAAAAUCAGGGAAAUUAAAAUGCAACCUGUUCCUCAUCUCUGUUUUUUCUUCAAUAGAUUUAGUCGAGUGGGGCAGGCCUGCCUCUGCUACGUUUUCAGUAUCUUCUUCCCCUCCCAGUAUGCUCUGUGCUUUUGGAACAAUAUGGGUAAACUUCAUCCCAGAGACACGUCCUGUCUUAGAUGGCGUCAGAAUCACUGUCUCAUUCACUUGUUUCAGACUCUCCAGAAGGGAGCCAAGCCGCUAAUGGCACCUAUAUUGUAUUCCAGGAGACAGGUUGAGUGGGAGCCUGCCAGCAAUUUGAUUGAAGGGGUUUGUUUGACACUUCAGAGGCAGCCAAUCAUAUCCUUCCUGCCUCACCUUAGGUCACUGAUCAAUGUCUGUGUCAAUCUGGUGAGUAGCCAAGUGGCAAUCUUAUGAAACUUUGCACAAUGUAACUCUGCUAUUGACUUCUCUGAAUUGAAGAUUUACAGGUCAACCACUUUGUGCCCCUAUCUGCCCAUGAAAACAGACGGCUCAGGUGACACUGAAAAUAGUGAGGUACAUUUCAAGGUGGUGUGUGGGGAGAUCCAGGAACCCAUCCCUACACAGAAGGGAUUUUGGUGUGCUGCUUCCCAUGCACUACUUUGACAAUUCACCUCUUCAAGUUGCGCUGAGAGUUGAGGGCUGCCAGUUGGAGAGUGGGGUGGCGGAGCCUGCACAAUUGGCUAGAAGUUGAGGUAGUCUGGGGUGGGGAACUUAAAAUGCAAAGAGGAUUUUUUUCUUUUAUGGUGCAAAAUGACACUAUGAGUUGGCCAGUCUAGGAUUUAUGUGAAG